ensembl:lncRNA
UGAAAACUCCUGUGUGGAGCCACGAGUCGAUGAUUCUCGUGGAUCCCUUCCAACCUGCCGUUGAAGGGGCAGGGAAAUAGGAUCCUCGCUUUGUUCUGCAGCUGUUGCUGUCGGGAAAAAGAACAAGGAACUUAGCUGGGUUCCUCCUUCCUAACCAUAGAUGUAUCCAGAGAGUUUGAUUUUAUGGAUAGUCCACAGCCUUGGGAGAAUCCCUCCCUACAGUCUGACACUUUAUUUGAGCUGGCAGCGUCGAACAUUGCAGUUAAAACCCCAAUUCAGGGAACUUGAAAUUACUACUAGUCCAUUGAAGGAGCAUGAAUUAAAGAAUGAGAUUUUCAGUUCUGAGUUUGCUCCUUCUUGCCAAUGCAACAUGUUAGCCUUCAAAAGACCAAAAUGUUAAGAACUGGAUGGGGGUCACUCCAGGCUGCCAAGUGUUACGGAAAGUUAUGACAGUUCUUCAUUCUAGUCAGCUGAAGAUAUCAUCUUCUAGCUAAAAGACCAGAAAAGAUUUCUGCAUUCAUUACAUUCAUUUGGAGCAGAAGACAAACAUAGCACUCAAAUACACAGAAUCCUGAAGUCUUUGCCUAGUUCUAGAAAUGCCUAGUUCUGCUGCUUCGGAAUUGUUUCUUAAGAGUCCAGGCACAAGUAUUCACAUACUCCAAACAUUGACUCCUAAGAUCAAAUUGGAGUGCCCUUUAAUUAUUAUUAUUUUUUUUAAUCAACUUUCAACACUAGAAGCUUUCUUCAUAAAGGCAGGGAAAUCUGAAAAAUCUAUUUGUAAUUUCCCUUUCAGAUCUCUGUGUUCACAUGUACUUUAUUGUUCAUUUUAAGGUAUCUGUUGCUUUGUAGCAUUGUACUGGAAUAUACAUUAAUUAAUAAAAAAUAUUUGAAAGGAAUUGUUAAUGCAAGGCUUAUUUGGAGUAAUCAGUGAUCUCUAAAAAUGCCCUUGGUGUAACCUCCUUUGCUGCAGAGCAGACUCUUCAAAUAUUAAAGAUUCUGAAAGUUGAAGGAGCAACCGCAGAUGUGUUUCUUGUGCUUUGCAAAAUGUAUUUUCUAUGAACUUAUUGGUAACAGUGAUGUACAGCAGCUAAAUCAUAUGGUCUUACUUGUCAGCUCACCAAUUUCAGUCUUCAAGGCCAAUGUUUUCUGGAUUUUUUAGUAAUUUUUCAGGAAGGGAGAGUGUAAAAUUAUAGUAAGGCCUGCCAUAGUAAGGCUGUCAUGAAAAAGUAUUAUUAUUAAUGCCAUUGAAAUCUGGAUAGCUAGGGAUAAUAGGUUAAAUGGCUUGUACGUCAUUUGAUGUGUCUGCUGAAGAUAGAGAAGGAAAUUAAUCUACUGAUAAAGUAAAAUCCACAGGACAGGAGGACAAUGCUAUAAUGUUACAUUACUGUGCAUAGAUUAUGAUGCCAUUUGCAAAAACAUACUGAUAAUAUAGCAAGGUGUUUUUUGCUCCAUAAAUAAUUUUUACCACUAUAUAGAAACCAUGUAGAAAGAAUGAGUAGUGCAAAGUAGAAAAGAACAGAGUUCCUAGGAAGGGUGGUUCAUUAGAAGCCUUUUUACUUGGCAUAAAAAUGAAUCAGGGGAACUGCGAUAUGAAUAGUAUAUUUUCUUUUAACUCAGAAAGAGUACCGUAACAAUUUGUUAAUCUGGGAAUGCCAUUGAUCUGAUCUUAACAGAGAAAUAUAGCAUAAAGUUGUGAUUAUUUGGUUGACUGGACUGUGUGCAGAGUAAGUUUUUGAUAUGGGGUGUUUUGCUAAGGUAACCUGCAAAAGCAGGAGAUAAGGUAACCACUAUAAUGAUUAAAAGGAAAAAAAAAAAGUUGAAAUGAUGUGAGUGGAAAUUAAUAAGUACUUGUCCAGCAGUCUGUGGGAAAGAGUGUCAUGUUCACUGUCCCCCUUUAAUGCAGAGUCAUAAAUAACAUUGUUUUGUUUUUCACUGUGCGCUUUUCUCCUUGUCUUGUACAGUGGUUGUGCUGUAUGCUAAUUGCAGAGUGCUUAGUGCAACCUCAGGCAGCUUUUUCUAUAUAAUUACUUUUGUUAUGAAACUCCAUACUGUCAAUUAAAUACUGUGAUCAUCUACCUAAUUGCAGAUAGAAUAAAUUUGGUAUUCCUGUGGUUCUUUCUUUGCACUGAAUGUUCAUAUCAGUAAGAAAGCCAUCUCUGAGUAAAAAAUUUAUAAAUGUACAGAACAUGAAACGGCACAUGCAUAUGGAUCAUUUCACUAUUGAAAGGGAAUAUUAAAUGCAUGAGUGGCUGUCUUGUUCAUACACCUUAUCUAAGUGGUUUGGACAUACUCAGAAAAUCAGCCAUAUAGAUACCAUUUUUAUUGUUUUAAGUAACUUUUUUUUGUUGCUGCUGUCUGUAUAGAACUAAUGAUCUGUAAUAAUAAUCUGCAAUGAUCUGUACUUCAAAUUAUAAAGUAAAGUGUAUAUUGCUUUU